UCAGUACUGACCUGCAGUCUGUGUGUGGUUUAAAUAGUAACAGUGUGUUUGCUGGAGUACUAUGGUGAGGUUAGGGGUCAGUACUGACCUGCAGUCUGUGUGUGGUUUAAAUAGUAACAGUGUGUUUGCUGGAGUACUAUGGUGAGGUUAGGGGUCAGUACUGACCUGCAGUCUGUGUGUGGUUUAAAUAGUAACAGUGUGUUUGCUGGAGUACUAUGGUGAGGUUAGGGGUCAGUACUGACCUGCAGUCUGUGUGUGGUUUAAAUAGUAACAGUGUGUUUGCUGGAGUACUAUGGUGAGGUUAGGGGUCAGUACUGACCUGCAGUCUGUGUGUGGUUUAAAUAGUAACAGUGUGUUUGCUGGAGUACUAUGGUGAGGUUAGGGGUCAGUACUGACCUGCAGUCUGUGUGUGGUUUAAAUAGUAACAGUGUGUUUGCUGGAGUACUAUGGUGAGGUUAGGGGUCAGUACUAACCUGCAGUCUGUGUGUGGUUUAAAUAGUAACAGUGUGUUUGCUGGAGUACUAUGGUGAGGUUAGGGGUCAGUACUGACCUGCAGUCUGUGUGUGGUUUAAAUAGUAACAGUGUGUUUGCUGGAGUACUAUGGUGAGGUUAGGGGUCAGUACUGAC